rnacentral:rRNA from 1 species
GAUGAACGCUGGCGGCGUGCCUAAUACAUGCAAGUCGAGCGAACGGACGAGAAGCUUGCUUCUCUGAUGUUAGCGGCGGACGGGUGAGUAACACGUGGAUAACCUACCUAUAAGACUGGGAUAACUUCGGGAAACCGGAGCUAAUACCGGAUAAUAUUUUGAACCGCAUGGUUCAAAAGUGAAAGACGGUCUUGCUGUCACUUAUAGAUGGAUCCGCGCUGCAUUAGCUAGUUGGUAAGGUAACGGCUUACCAAGGCAACGAUGCAUAGCCGACCUGAGAGGGGGGACGGCCAACCGGGAACGGAGACCCGGUCCAGACCCCAAGGGGAGGCAGCAGUAGGGAAUCUUCCGCAAUGGGGGAAAGCCUGACGGGGAAACGCCGGGGGGGUGAUGAAGGUCUUGGGUUCGUAAAACUUUUUUAUUGGGGAAGAAAAAUUGUGUAAGUAACUGUGCCCAUCUUGACGGUACCAAACCAAAAAACCACGGCUAACUACGG